GUGUUCUAUGAAAGGAGAGAAGGGUAGCACUCCCCUUGACAAGAAUGGAGGGGACCCUUGGGCCUGGCAACUAUUAACGCAUUGCCACCUACUUCCAAGGACAUUUUAUU
ensembl:snRNA